rnacentral:rRNA from 1 species
UACGGGGGGGGUAAGCGUUGUUCGGAAUUACUGGGCGUAAAGGGCUCGUAGGUGGCCAAUUAAGUCAGACGUGAAAUCCCCAGGCUCAACCUGGGAACUGCGUCUGAUACUGGUUGGCUUGAAUUCGGGAGAGGGAUGCAGAAUUCCAGGUGUAGCGGUGAAAUGCGUAGAUAUCUGGAGGAAUACCGGUGGCGAAGGCGGCAUCCUGGACCGAGAUUGACACUGAGGAGCGAAAGCCGGGGGAGCAAACGGG